rnacentral:rRNA from 1 species
UACGUAGGGUGCGAGCGUUAAUCGGAAUUACUGGGCGUAAAGCGUGCGCAGGCGGUUUUGUAAGCCAGAUGUGAAAUCCCCGGGCUUAACCUGGGAAUGGCAUUUGGGACUGCAAGGCUCGAGUGCGGCAGAGGAGACUGGAAUUCCUGGUGUAGCAGUGAAAUGCGUAGAUAUCAGGAAGAACACCCGUGGCGAAGGCGGUUCUCUGGGACGGUACUGACGCUGAGACGCGAAAGCGUGGGGAGCGAACAGG